rnacentral:lncRNA from 1 species
CGGGGGUCUCACCGGACGGGCCGGUUGGCGGCGUCGGGGUCCCGCGCCGUCACCACGCCGACCAGGGAGCCCACCUGCGCGUCCUCCUGCACCUCCAGGAGGCCGGAGGGCGGCCGGAACUCGGGGGGCUCGUCCACGUCGGUCACGGCCACGCGCACGAUCGCCUGGUCGCGGAACGUGCCCAGGUCGGCGAAGCGGGGGUCCACGAACUUGUUGAGGGCCUCCAGGAUCACGGUGUGCACGGGCUGGGAUUCGAAGUC